rnacentral:tRNA from 1 species
GACCGUAUAGUCAAAUUUAUGAUAUUAGAUUGCAAAUUUAAAGUUAAGUGUAUUUUAUGGUCU